rnacentral:lncRNA from 1 species
AGUUUUAGAGUAUAAAGAGUAAUCUGAGAGUUUAGGAGAGAUUAGAGAAGUAUUAGAGAUGAUUUAGGGUAGAAUCUGAGAUCAAGAGACUAAGAGAAAAGCCAUGGAGGCUAAGAAUAAUCUGAACUGUCUUAUUCUUUAUUAUGGAUGAGGUUACAACAUUUAUAGGAGAGUCAUUAGGGCUUUUGCGCAAAGGGAAAUGGCACUAGUCUAAGCAUGUGAAGUCAAGGCUGAAUGGAGUGUCUCCUUUUGAAAUGAACGGACAGGAGGGCACACACGCUUCUGGCUUUACAGCCUGUCCAAGAGCUGGAUGGAUAAGGCGCGUCCCAACCUUAUCCAUAAACGGUCUGAUCCGUUCCAAACCUUCCGUGUCUAAUGAAGGCACUGCUCGUCCAUCUUCCUUCUCUUUCACGUUCCCUCAGAUGUACGGUCAUGCCCUAUCCGUACACACCAUGCCCUAACUUUGCACAACCUUUAAACUGACUUUAAAGGUCAUUCAAGCUCUCAUGGUCGAGGUGAUCCGUACCGUCCGU